CCUACGGGAGGCAGCAGUGGGGAAUUUUGGACAAUGGGGGCAACCCUGAUCCAGCAAUGCCGCGUGUGUGAAGAAGGCCUUCGGGUUGUAAAGCACUUUUGGCGGGAACGAAAUGGAGCUUGCUAAUACCAGACUUCGAUGACGGUACUCGCAGAAUAAGCACCGACUAACUACGUGCCAGCAGCCGCGGUAAU
rnacentral:rRNA from 1 species